rnacentral:rRNA from 1 species
UACUCGCGCUGUGCGCGAGAGCGGUAGAGGAGCGUCCGUCACGCAGUAAAGCUGUGUUGUAAAACACGGUGGAGUGUGGCGGAGUGAGAAUGCCGGUAUGAGUAG